rnacentral:rRNA from 1 species
AUUGAACGCUGGCGGCAGGCUUAACACAUGCAAGUCGAGCGAGCGGCGGACGGGUGAGUAAUGUCUGGGAAACUGCCUGAUGGAGGGGGAUAACUACUGGAAACGGUAGCUAAUACCGCAUACCAUCAGAUGUACCCAGAUGGGAUUAGCUAGUCGGUGGGGUAAUGGCUCACCUAGGCGACGAUCCCUAGCUGGUCUGAGAGGAUGACCAGCAUGCAUGGAACGGAGACAGGGUCCAGACUCCUACGGGAGUCAGCAGUGGGGAAGAGGGCACAAUGGGCGCAAGCCUGAUGCAGCCAUGCCGCGGUUGUGAAGAAGGCCUUCGGGUUGUAAAGCACUUUCAGCGAGUAGGCGUUACUCGCAGAAGAAGCACCGGCUAACUCCGUGCCAGCAGCCGCGGUAAUUC